AUUGAACGCUGGCGGCAGGCCUAACACAUGCAAGUCGAGCGAGCGGCGGACGGGUGAGUAAUGUCUGGGGACUGCCUGAUGGAGGGGGAUAACUACUGGAAACGGUGGCUAAUACCGCAUACCGUCGGAUAACCCAUAUGGGAUUAGCUAGUAGGUGGGUGAAUGGCUCACCUAGGCGACGAUCCCUAGCUGGUCUGAGAGGAUGAUCAGCCAGACUGGGACUGGGACACGGCCCAGACUCCUACGGAGGCAGCAGGGGGGAAUAUUGCACAAGGGGCGCAAGCCUGAUGCAGCCAUGCCGCGUGUAUGAAGAAGGCCUUAGGGUUGUAAAGUACUUUCAGCGGGGAGGCGUUACCGACAGAAGAAGCACCGGCUAACUCCGUGCCAGCAGCCGCGGUAAUUC
rnacentral:rRNA from 1 species